rnacentral:rRNA from 1 species
CCUACGGGUGGCUGCAGUGGGGAAUAUUGCACAAUGGGGGCAACCCUGAUGCAGCGACGCCGCGUGAGUGAAGAAGUAUUUCGGUAUGUAAAGCUCUGUCAGCAGGGAAGAAAAUGACGGUACCUGACCAAGAAGCCCCGGCUAACUACGUGCCAGCAGCCGCGGUAAUACGUAGGGGGCAAGCGUUAUCCGGAUUUACUGGGUGUAAAGGUAGCGUAGACGGCAGGGCAAGUCUGGAGUGAAAGGCGGGGGCUCAACCCGCGGACGGCACUGGAAACUGCCAGGCUGGAGUGCAGGAGAGGUAAGUGGAAUUCCUAGUGUAGCAGUGAAAUGCGUAGAUAUUAGGAGGAACACCAGUGGCGAAGGCGGCUUACUGGACUGUAACUGACGUUGAGGCUCGAAAGCGUGGGGAGCAAACAGGAUUAGAUACCCCUGUAGUC